CAGGAUUUCUUCUACAAGCACACGCCUGAGAUGCACUGUGCUGCCACACAUCCAGUCACAACAGGAUGAAGCAGACAUGGAGUAAUCCCUCUGAUACCAAGAACCAGCAAGCUUUCCCUCUUCUGAAGCUGUCUAUUUUAUUUUAUCAUAGUUAUAGAUGGAUGACUAGCAAUUCUUGCUUCCCAGUGCCAUAAGGACCAUCUCCUCGUGACAUAACAAAGAAUGUAGAAUUCCUUCCCCCUCUGUUUGACCCCCAACUUGAAGUUCCAUCCUUAUUUUCCCUUAUUUUAAUUUUUUUUUCCUAAAUUUACUUUAUCUAACACUAUUAUCUC
rnacentral:lncRNA from 1 species